UAACAUACCAGAUUUUGGUAUAAAAAUAAAAAUAAAUAAAAAUAGUAUGAAAAACUAUUUUUAUUGGAUUUAUAGAAGUAAAACAUAAGUCAGAAGUGACUUGAGCUGAAAUCGGAAUGAAAACAGAAGAUUUAGAAUUUUCUGUUGGAAACGGGACAGAUAAGUUAGCAGAAAAUGCACAGUCUCAAAAAAUUAUAAAAAUUGGAGAAUAAAUUAGAAAUAUUUUUAUGAGGCUAGAUUUAAAGUUUCAUAUUUUUCUGACACCCGUAGAGUGAGAAACAAAAUCCGAGAGUUAUCUGAUAAAGAUUACAGUUCGGCAUAGUUUUCGGUGACCAAAUGGGGUCGAAACUGAAAACUUAAGAUAUAUUCUUACUCAGUACGUUAAACUGAG
rnacentral:lncRNA from 1 species